AACGGUCUAUACCUGCGGUACCUGCGGAAGGAUCAUUAGCGUGUUCUGACACCCGCUGACCCCCUGUGAAUGCGCGGCGCGGCCGCUGUUGUUGCCUCGGCCAGACGCCCCAGGGCGGGGCCCCCGGCCUGGGAAGACCAGGCGCUGGCCGGCGGCGCGAACUUCUGGAUCCUGAUCGAGGGGAGCUCUGAGUCGACCGAGACGCGAAUCGCGAAAGAAAAACUUUCAACAAUGGAUCUC
rnacentral:misc_RNA from 1 species